UUCCCCCAGCUAUCUAGCUUCCCAUCUUCAGUGAGUUAGUGUAGUGGAAGCAUAAAUCCACCUUGGUAUGUAAGAUUUUGAACGUGAGCCAGCUAGCGGAUAGGUAAUGAUCUUUAAUUUUGCCAACAAAAGCUAUCAGCAAUGUUUGUGGGCUUCUAGCUAGAAAAAUGGAAAUGCUGCCAUCUUUUAUUACUAAAAGGGAGCCUUAUGUUUCUUUUUUUUGCAAAAAUCCCUCCCCAUCAACAAAUGACUUGAUGAAAUAACGCUCCUUCUCGCACGAGCGAGCCCACACCCUGGUGGGCAGUUCGGCAUUUUGGUGAAAUAGCUAUAAUACGUCUACUGGAACAGACCAGGA
rnacentral:misc_RNA from 1 species